GACGAACGCUGGCGGCGUGCUUAACACAUGCAAGUCGAACGGAAAGGCCCUGCUUUUGUUGGGUGCUCGAGUGGCGAACGGGUGAGUAACACGUGAGUAACCUGCCCUUGACUUUGUGAUAACUUCAGGAAACUGGGGCUAAUACCGGAUAGGAGCUCCUGCUGCAUGGUGGGGGUUGGAAAGUUUCGGCGGUUGGGGAUCGACUCGCGGCUUAUCAGCUUGUUGGUGGGGUAGUGGCUUACCAAGGCUUUGACGGGUAGCCGGCCUGAGAGGGUGACCGGCCACAUUGGGACUGAGAUACGGCCCAGACUCCUACGGGAGGCAGCAGUGGGGAAUAUUGCACAAUGGGCGGAAGCCUGAUGCAGAAACGCCGCGUGCGGGAUGACGGCCUUCGGGUUGUAAACCGCUUUCGCCUGUGACGAAGCGUGAGUGACGGUAAUGGGUAAAGAAGCACCGGCUAACUACGUG
rnacentral:rRNA from 1 species